UACGUAGGGCGCAAGCGUUUGUCCGGAUUUAUUGGGCGUAAAGAGCUCGUAGGCGGUCCGUCACGUCGGCUGUGAAAACCCGAGGCUCAACCUCGGGCCUGCAGUCGAUACGGGCAGACUAGAGUGCGGUAGGGGAGACUGGAAUUCCUGGUGUAGCGGUGAAAUGCGCAGAUAUCAGGAGGAACACCGGUGGCGAAGGCAGAUCUCUGGGCCGUAACUGACGCUGGAGG
rnacentral:rRNA from 1 species